UACGUAGGCAGCAAGCGUUGUUCGGAAUUAUUGGGCGUAAAGCGCGCGCAGGCGGUUGUCUAAGUCUGCUGUGAAAUCUCCCGGCUCAACUGGGAGGGGGCGGCGGAGACUGGGCGACUGGAGGGACCUAGAGGCCGGUGGAAUUCCCGGUGUAGUGGUGAAAUGCGUAGAGAUCAGGAGGAACACCGGUGGCGAAGGCGGGUCUCUGGGCCGUUACUGACGCUGAGGAGCGAAAGCGUGGGGAGCGAACAGG
rnacentral:rRNA from 1 species